rnacentral:rRNA from 1 species
AGACGGAGGGCGCAAGCGUUGUUCGGAAUUACUGGGCGUAAAGGGCAGGUAGGUGGUCUGUUAAGUCUUCUGUGAAAACCCGGGGCUCAACCCCGCGGAAUGCAGGUGAAACUGGCAGACUUGAGACCGGUAGAGGCUAGCGGAAUUCCUGGUGUAGCGGUGGAAUGCGUAGAUAUCAGGAAGAACACCUGUGGCGAAGGCGGCUAGCUGGGCCGGUUCUGACACUGAACUGCGAAAGCGUGGGGAGCAAACAGGAUUAGAUACCCUGGUAGUCC